GAUGAACGCUGGCGGCGUGCCUAAUACAUGCAAGUCGAACGAGGAGUCUUUGUAGCAAUACGGAGGCUUCCUAGUGGCGAACGGGUGAGUAACGCGUUGGUGACCUGCCCCGAAGUGUGGGAUAACAGACCGAAAGGUUUGCUAAUACCGCAUGUGGUCACGAGGGUUAGCGGCCUUGUGACUAAAGGAGUAAUCCGCUUUGGGAGGGACCUGCGUCCCAUCAGCUAGUUGGUAGGGUAACGGCCUACCAAGGCUUCGACGGGUAGGGGGCCUGAGAGGGUGGCCCCCCACAAUGGAACUGAAACACGGUCCAUACACCUACGGGUGGCAGCAGUAGGGAAUAAUGUGCAAUGGGCGAAAGCCUGACACUGCAACGCCGCGUGUGCGAUGAAGGCCUUCGGGUCGUAAAGCACUUUUCUGGGAGAUGAGAAAGGACAGUAUCCCAGGAAUAAGCCUCGGCUAACUACGUGCCAGCAGCCGCGGUAAGAC
rnacentral:rRNA from 1 species